rnacentral:rRNA from 1 species
CUACGGGAGGCUGCAGUGAGGAAUAUUGCACAAUGGGGGGAACCCUGAUGCAGCAACGCCGCGUGGAGGAUGACGCAUUUCGGUGUGUAAACUCCUUUUAUAUGUCAAGAAAAUGACGGUAGCAUAUGAAUAAGCACCGGCUAACUCCGUGCCAGCAGCCGCGGUAAUACGGAGGGUGCAAGCGUUACUCGGAAUCACUGGGCGUAAAGGACGCGUAGGCGGGUUGGAAAGUCAGGUGUGAAAUCCUACAGCUUAACUGUAGAACUGCACUUGAAACUUCUAAUCUAGAGUAUGGGAGGGGGAGAUGGAAUUAGUGGUGUAGGGGUAAAAUCCGUAGAUAUCACUAGGAAUACCUAAAGCGAAGGCGAUCUCCCGGAACAUUACUGACGCUAAGGCGUGAAAGCGUGGGGAGCAAAUAGGAUUAGAUACCCCAGUAGUC